GACGAACGCUGGCGGCGUGCCUAAUACAUGCCAGUCGAACGCAUUUUCUUUCACCGUAGCUUGCUACACCGAAAGAAAAUGAGUGGCGAACGGGUGAGUAACACGUGGGUAACCUGCCCAUCAGCGGGGGAUAACACUUGGAAACAGGUGCUAAUACCGCAUAAUUCCAUUUACCGCAUGGUAGACGGGUGAAAGGCGCUUUUGCGUCACUGAUGGAUGGACCCGCGGUGCAUUAGCUAGUUGGUGGGGUAACGGCCUACCAAGGCUGCGAUGCAUAGCCGACCUGAGAGGGUGAUCGGCCACACUGGGACUGAGACACGGCCCAGACUCCUACGGGAGGCAGCAGUAGGGAAUCUUCGGCAAUGGACGCAAGUCUGACCGAGCAACGCCGCGUGAGUGAAGAAGGUUUUCGGAUCGUAAAACUCUGUUGUUAGAGAAGAACAAGGAUGAGAGUGGAAAGUUCAUCCCUUGACGGUAUCUAACCAGAAAGCCACGGCUAACUACGUG
rnacentral:rRNA from 1 species